GGAGGGGUGGCAGAGUGGUUGAAUGCGGCGGUCUUGAAAACCGCUGGCCCGCAAGGGCUCGUGGGUUCGAAUCCCACCCCCUCCGCCA
rnacentral:tRNA from 1 species